rnacentral:rRNA from 1 species
GGGACCCUACGGGGGGCAGCAGUGGGGAAUAUUGCGCAAUGGGGGAAACCCUGACGCAGCAACGCCGCGUGAGUGAGGAAGUAUCUCGGUAUGUAAAGCUCUAUCAGCGGGGAAGAAAGGGGACGGUACCCGACUAAGAAGCCCCGGCUAACUACGUGCCAGCAGCCGCGGUAACACGUAGGGGGCAAGCGUUAUCCGGAUUUACUGGGUGUAAAGGGAGCGCAGGCGGCGUGGCAAGUCAGAUGUGAAAACCCGGGGCCCAACCCCGGGAGUGCAUUUGAAACUGCCAUGCUGGAGUGCCGGAG